UACGGAGGAUGCAAGCGUUAUCCGGAUUUAUUGGGUUUAAAGGGUGCUCAGGUUGUUUGAUAAGUCAGUGGUGAAAGUCUGUUGCUUAACGGUAGGAUUGCCAUUGAUACUGUUGGACUUGAAUAUGGAUGAGGUAGGCGGAAUGUGUAGUGUAGCGGUGAAAUGCAUAGAUAUUACACAGAACACCGAUUGCGAAGGCAGCUUACUAAUCCAUCAUUGACGCUGAGGCACGAAAGCGUGGGGAUCAAACAGGA
rnacentral:rRNA from 1 species